rnacentral:rRNA from 1 species
GAUGAACGCUAGCUACAGGCUUAACACAUGCAAGUCGAGGGACCGGCGCACGGGUGAGUAAAACGUAUCCAACCUGCCCUUUACUCGGGGAUAGCCUUUCGCAAGAAAGAUUAAUACCCGAUAUAAAGGAUGGGGAUGCGUUUCAUUAGGUUGUUGGUGAGUUAACGGCUCACCAAGCCUUCGAUGGAUAGGGGUUCUGAGAGGAAUGUCCCCCACAUUGCUACUGAUACACGUUCCAAACUCCUACGGGCGGCAGCAGUGAGGAAUAUUGGUCAAUGGUAGCUAGACUGAUCCAGCCAAGUAGCGUGAAGGAUGAAGGCUUAUGUGUCUUAUACUUCUUUUAUAUAAGAAUAUUUAUUUUAUGAAUAAGGAUCGGCUAACUCCGUGCCAGCAGCCGCGGUAAUUC